GACGAACGCUGGCGGCGUGCUUAACACAUGCAAGUCGAACGGAAAGGCCCUGCUUGCAGGGUACUCGAGUUGCGAACGGGUGAGUAACACGUGGGUGAUCUGCCCUGCACUUCGGGAUAAGCCGGGGAAACUGGGUCUAAUACCGGAUAGGAGCCAUUUUUAGUGUGAUGGUUGGAAAGUUUUUUCGGUGUAUGAUGAGCUCGCGGCCUAUCAGCUUGUUGGUUGGGUAAUGGGCUACCAAGGCGGCGGCGGGUAGCCGGCCUGAGAGGGUGGACUGCCACCUUGGGACUGAGAGACGGCCCAGACACCUACGGGAGGCAGCAGUGGGGAAUAUUGCACAAUGGGCGCAAGCCUGAUGCAGCGACGCCGCGUGGGGGAUGACGGCCUUCGGGUUGUAAACUACUUUCGCUAGGGACGAAGCUUUUUGUGACGGUACCUAGAUAAGAAGCACCGGCUAACUACGUG
rnacentral:rRNA from 1 species